rnacentral:rRNA from 1 species
GAUGAACGCUGACAGAAUGCUUAACACAUGCAAGUCGAUUCGAUUUACCUUCGGGUAUUGAGGAUGGCGGACGGGUGAGUAACGCGUAAGGAACUUGCCUCUUGGUCUGGGACAACUGUUGGAAACGACAGCUAAUACCGGAUAUUAUGAGAUUCUCGCAUGGGAAACUUAUGAAAGCUAUAUGCGCCAAGAGAGAGCCUUGCGUUCCAUUAGCUAGUUGGUGGGGUAACGGCCCACCAAGGCGACGAUGGAUAGCCGGCCUGAGAGGGUGAACGGCCACAAGGGGACUGAGACACGGCCCUUACUCCUACGGGAGGCAGCAGUGGGGAAUAUUGGACAAUGGGCCACAAGCCUGAUCCAGCAAUUCUGUGUGCACGAUGAAGGUCUUCGGAUUGUAAAGUGCUUUCAGUUGGGAAGAAGAAAGUGACGGUACCAACAGAAGAAGCGACGGCUAAAUACGUGCCAGCAGCCGCGGUAAUACGUAUGUCGCAAGCGUUAUCCGGAUUUAUUGGGCGUAAAGCGCGUCUAGGCGGAAAAAUAAGUCUGAUGUUAAAAUGCGGGGCUCAACUCCGUAUUGCGUUGGAAACUGUUUUUCUAGAGUACUGGAGAGGUGGGCGGAACUACAAGUGUAGAGGUGAAAUUCGUAGAUAUUUGUAGGAAUGCCNAUGGAGAA